GACAGAGGGUGCAAACGUUGUUCGGAAUUACUGGGCGUAAAGCGCGUGUAGGCGGCUUUGCAAGUCGGAUGUGAAAGCCCUCGGCUCAACCGGGGAAGUGCACCCGAAACUGCAAAGCUAGAGUCUCGGAGAGGAUCGUGGAAUUCUCGGUGUAGAGGUGAAAUUCGUAGAUAUCGAGAGGAACACCAGUGGCGAAGGCGGCUAUCUGGACGGUUUCUGACGCUAAGACGCGAAAGCGUGGGGAGCAAACAGG
rnacentral:rRNA from 1 species